GACGAACGCUGGCGGCGUGCUUAACACAUGCAAGUCGAGCGGUAAGGCCCUUCGGGGUACACGAGCGGCGAACGGGUGAGUAACACGUGGGUGACCUGCGUCUAGCUCUGGGAUAAGCCUGGGAAACUGGGUCUAAUACCGGAUAUGACUCCACGGCGCAUGUUGUGGGGUGGAAAGCCUUGUGUGGCUAGAGAUGGGCCCGCGGCCUAUCAGCUUGUUGGUGGGGUGAGGCCUACCAAGGCGACGACGGGUAGCCGGCCUGAGA
rnacentral:rRNA from 1 species